rfam:Cricetulus griseus cell line CHO-K1, whole genome shotgun sequence.
AGAUAUGAAGGUAAAUAGAUCUGUUAACUUAUGAAUUGCUGGGGUUGUUUUGGUUGACAUGGAUAGUUAGGUGGUAUCCUCUUCCUCCAUUGUCAUUCCAUGUGUAACUUUCUGGAAGCUGCACACUUAGCAGAUGAAACUAUUUUAUCAAUAGAAAAGGUCUAGCCCCUGGUCAAGGAUAUAUGAGUGGCUGUGCUGCCUGGCUGGAACCUCCAAACAGGCUGUUACAGUGGGCACAUUUCCUUUUCAUUCUGCUUAUUUCCAUGUCUAAUCACUACCUAACAU